UGAGUACGAGACGCUAAGGCGUCGAAGUAGUGGAUGCCAUACUUCCAAGAAAAGCUUGCACUGUCAUAAAUAAAAAUGCCCGUACCAUAACCGACACAGGUGGGUAAGUAGAGUAUACUAAGGGGCGCGAGAUAACUCUCUCUAAGGAACUCGGCGAAAUAACUCCGUAACUUCGGGAGAAGGAGUGCCUUAUUCUUAAGGUUGCAAUAACAAGAUCCAAGCAACUGUUUGUCAAAAACACAGGUCUCCGCUAAGUCGUAAGACGAUGUAUGGGGGCUGACGCCUGCCCAGUGCCAGAAGGUUAAAGAAGUCGGUUAGCAAUAGCAAAGCUGGUAACUGAAGCCCUGGUGAACGGCGGCCGUAACUAUAACGGUCCUAAGGUAGCGAAAUUCCUUGUCGGGUAAGUUCCGACCCGCACGAAAGGCGUAAUGAUUUGGAUGCUGUCUCGGAGAGGGGCUCGGUGAAAUAGGCUUGUCUGUGAAGAUGCGGACUACCUGCACCAGGACAGAAAGACCCUAUGAAGCUUUACUGUAACUUGAGAUUGAAAUUGGACUUUAUUCGCGCAGUAUAGGUGGGAGGCGUUGAUUAUAAUCUUGUGGGAUUAUUGGAGCCAUCAGUGAGAUACCACUCUUGUAAUGUUAGGUUUCUAACUUUGAAUCAUUAUCUGGUCAAAGGACAGUUUCAGGCGGGCAGUUUGACUGGGGCGGUCGCCUCCUAAACGGUAACGGAGGCGUACAAAGGUUUCCUCUGAACGGUUAGAAAUCGUAUCUAGAGUGUAAAGGCAUAAGGAAGCUUGACUGUGAGACCUACAAGUCGAGCAGGGACGAAAGUCGGUCUUAGUGAUCUGACGGUACUGAGUGGAAAGGCCGUCACUCAACGGAUAAAAGUUACUCUAGGGAUAACAGGCUGAUCUCCCCCAAGAGUUCGCAUCGACGGGGAGGUUUGGCACCUCGAUGUCGGCUCAUCGCAUCCUGGGGCGGUAGUACGUCCCAAGGGUUGGGCUGUUCGCCCAUGAAAGCGGUACGCGAGCUGGGUUCAGAACGUCGUGAGACAGUUCGGUCCAUAUCCGGUGUAGGCGCUAGAAUAUUGAGAGGAGCCUUCUUUAGUACGAGAGGACCGAGAAGGACAUACCUCUGGUGUACCAGUUAUCGUGCCAACGGUAAACGCUGGGUAGCUAUGUAUGGAGUGGAUAACCGCUGAAAGCAUCUAAGUGGGAAGCUCACCUCAAGAUAAGUAUUCUCAUCACGUAAGUGAGUAAGGUCACGGUAAGACUAACCGUUUGAUAGGCAUUAAGUGUAAGUACAGUAAUGUAUGUGCUGAGAUGUCCUAAUAGACCGAGGACUUGAAU
rnacentral:rRNA from 1 species